AUUGAACGCUGGCGGCAUGCUUUACACAUGCAAGUCGAACGGUAACAGGUUAAGCUGACGAGUGGCGAACGGGUGAGUAAUGCAUCGGAACGUGCCCGAUCGUGGGGGAUAACACUUCGAAAGAAGUGCUAAUACCGCAUACGAUCUGAGGAUGAAAGCGGGGGACCGUAAGGCCUCGCGCGAUCGGAGCGGCCGAUGUCAGAUUAGGUAGUUGGUGGGGUAAAGGCCUACCAAGCCGACGAUCUGUAGCUGGUCUGAGAGGACGACCAGCCACACUGGGACUGAGACACGGCCAAGAGUCCUACGGGAGGCAGCAGUGGGGAAUUUUGGACAAUGGGCGCAAGCCUGAUCCAGCAAUGCCGCGUGCAGGAAGAAGGCCUUCGGGUUGUAAACUGCUUUUGUACGGAGCGAAAAGGCUCUCUCUAAUACAGGGGGCUGAUGACGGUACCGUAAGAAUAAGCACCGGCUAACUACGUGCCAGCCGCCGCCGUAA
rnacentral:rRNA from 1 species